rnacentral:rRNA from 1 species
GUGGGGCAGCAUGGUGUAGCAAUACACUGAUGGCGACCGGCAAACGGGUGCGGAACACGUACGCAACCUUCCUUUAACUGGAGAAUAGCCCGGGGAAACCCGGAUUAAUACUCCGUAACAUUAUAGUGUGGCAUCACACCAUAAUUAUAGCUCCGGCGGUUAAAGAUGGGCGUGCGUCUGAUUAGGUAGUUGGCGGGGUAACGGCCCACCAAGCCUACGAUCAGUAACUGGUGUGAGAGCACGACCAGUCACACGGGCACUGAGACACGGGCCCGACUCCUACGGGAGGCAGCAGUAAGGAAUAUUGGUCAAUGGACGCAAGUCUGAACCAGCCAUGCCGCGUGGAGGAUGAAGGUCCUCUGGAUUGUAAACUUCUUUUAUUUGGGAAGAAACCCACGAUUUCUAUUGUGGUUGACGGUACCAGAUGAAUAAGCACCGGCUAACUCCGUGCCAGCAGCCGCGGUAAUACGGAGGGUGCAAGCGUUAUCCGGAUUCACUGGGUUUAAAGGGUGCGUAGGCGGGUUGGUAAGUCCGUGGUGAAAUCUCCAAGCUUAACUUGGAAACUGCCGUGGAUACUAUCAAUCUUGAAUAUAGUGGA